GACGAACGCUGGCGGCGUGCCUAAUACAUGCAAGUCGAGCGAACAGACGAUGAUCUUGCUCCUCUGACGUUAGCGGCGGGCGGGUGAGUAACACGUGUAUAACCUACCUAUCAUUCUGGGAUAACCUCGAGAAACCGGAGCUAAUACCGUAUAAUAUAUUGAACCGCAUGGUUCAAUAGUGAAAGACGGUGUUGCGGGCUCUUAUCGAUGGAUCCGCGCUGCUUUAGCUAGUUGGUAAGGUAACGGCUUACCAAGGGAACGAUGCGUAGCCGAGGUGAGUGAGGGAUAGGCCGCACGGGAACUGUGACGCGGUCCAGGCUCCUGAGGGAGGGAGCAGAAGGGAAUGUUACGCAAUGGGCGAGAACCUUACGGAGCAACGCCGCGUGAGUGAUGAAGAUCUUCGGAUCGUAAAACUCUGUUAUGAGGGAAAAACAAAUGUGUAAGUAACUAUAGACGUCUUGACGGUAACUAAUAAGAAAGCAACGGCUAACUACGUG
rnacentral:rRNA from 1 species